rnacentral:lncRNA from 1 species
GCGACCUGGGGCGCGCUGGGCCCCACAGAGCAGCCGCGGACCCCGGCGAUCGUGCCGUGUUCGUCUCCUUUGUGUUUCUUUAUUGAGUCCCUACUACCUCUACCGAUAUUCUGGGGGCAGUUAAAGAAAAUCACCGCUUCCUAGGCAGCACAUAUCUCCCGUAGAAAUGUGGAACGUAAGACAAGCACAUAAAGCAAUCCAAGUUGCCUGCAGAUAUCCACAGCCUACUUCAGUCCCAGUAAUGCUCUUUUAACCUGGUGCAUCAGUUUAAGGGAAAACAUGAGAUCAUGGGUUUAAGUGAGGCUUCAUCAUGCCAAGACAAUGUGAUCAGUUAUUCCCAACCUAUAUAACUCACAUACACUGGAGGAAAUAUCUUCAUGGAAUUAAAAACACAUGGAGUAACAUUUCACAUAAGCAGAAUUCAGGAAGGAUUUCAGUAAUUCCAUCCCAAACACACACAGGCAAAGGGAGUGAAGAUUUCUUCAGCAACCUGGUGGCAGAAAGACCAUGAAAAGAUCCAGGCCAGUCUAAGCUCACUGCAGUUAAAUCUUCAGUCUCCAGCACUGCACUUGGGAAAGCAUCAAGGAGUUGAAUGUAUAUGUAAUUGGAGUGCCAGAAGAAGAGAACCGAGAGAGAGGGGCAGAACAGCUCAUGAAGGGAAAACCCACUACAUACAAACAAGAAUACUGCAGACUCCUCAUCGGAAUCUAUGCUACCUUUACAAGCACAGAGCUGCUCUCACCACACAGCCAAAGAGGAAAUGAGGAUAUCAGUCCUAUAACUGCAAGGAACUGAAUGCUGCCAACCACCUGAAUGGAUUUGGGCUACUGAGAAGAAGCUACUCUAGCAAAGCUGGAGGAAUUCCACCAGACUGACAGAACAACACAAAUAAGUCCAUGCCUGAUGCACAGCAGAGGCUCAAGGCCAGUUUGUGGACUCGAAGCCCUGUUAGAAUGGAUGGAAUUUGGUCUUAUGAAGCAGAUAGAAGAACAGGAGCUUGACUGUAAAGAUUUGUCUCCACCUCUUAAUAAAGUGUAUCAUCUCCGA